GCUGAAUUAAUGAGGAUGACUCCUGCUCCUGUCAUCUCUAAGCUCCUCACACAUCUUUACCUGCACAUGAGGAAAAUCACUCCUGGAGAAUGCAGAUGUUCAGAGGGAGAUGAUGCCACAUCUGGUCCAGCUGAUGGAAGGUCUUGAAGUUCUCUGACUGGCCUCGACUGAAGAUGGUCGUCUCACUGGAUUUAAGGUUCAGAUGCUCAGUAACAAACUCCACCAAUGAGCCAACAGGGAAGCUUUAGGUUUAUUAAAUGUUGCUAUGAAGGUUUCGCUGUUUUUCUUUGUGAAUGCAAUGUGCUCCAACUGAAACUUGAAUUAGAACUUAGAAGUAAAUCCUUCCAUCUGAAAGGAUCUAGAUGUAUUAAUAACCUCAUAACAUUCUAAUUUUUAUUCCAGUCUUGGUUGGAACUAGAAUCUCUGUAUUGAUUCAGGUAAAAACUGAACUUCACAGCAUGUUGGAGCAAAACAACCAGAUGAAAACUGUGAUGGUGUUGGAUUGUCAGACCGUAAUGUUGCAGCUCAAAGCAGCUUUUCUGUCUCAGUUCAUUCUGACAUUCAGCUAUGAAUCAACACAGCAGAUGGUGAUCCAUGCUGUGGAAGUCUCACAUCUCCUGAUUUAAUGGAGCUGCUUUGCACUUUUUACACUGUUUAUUCACCAACACUUUAUUUAAUAAAAGUCCCAUCUAGUUUUAAUGAGGAAUGUGAUGUUUUAAUUUCUCUGUGAAUAACUGCAGUCUAAUGGAACAGCUGGAGUUGUAACAUCUGUCCUGAUAUUGAUCAUGAAGUAUUGAUCAGAAUACUUAUGGUCAGCAGUCAUCCCUGAAGUUUUACAUUAAAAUCUUUACUUGUGUUGUGAACUUUGGUAAGAAGCAGAAACUUUUGCGUUGCCAUGGAUAUAUGAGUGUUAAUUUCUGUCCAUGUUUCCAUUUUGGGAAAUGCAGUCCAGUUCCAGAAUGUGGAGGAAUUUAGUCUCACAAUCACAGACAAAAGUCGGGUUAUUGUUGUUUAUCAGCACAAUACAAAAAGAUUAAUGUUAGAAAUAUUCCAGUUAAGACUCUAGAAUAUCAUGAUUUAUGUAAAUCUACCUCAAUAAUAUGAAUGUUCAGGUUAAGAUUGUGCAGUGAUAUUUAUUAUGUAAGUUUAGCUGAUUAAAGUUUAUGACUCUGCACUAAAAUAUUAUUUAAAUUGACAUCAUUAUUAUAAUAUUUAGGGUCAGACCCUACAGUAUUGAGAUUAAGAAAUCAAAUAUUCUAUAAAAUGUAAAUACACUGAACUCAUUUGGAUAUAUUUAAGUGAGACUCUACAAUAUUAUUUGACACAAAUCUAAAUCAAAAUUUUAAUAAUUUUCACGCCAAAGAUUUACUGGACUGAUUUAAAUAUUAAAAUCACUCCUUUCUAAUCCUCUGCUAUACGGUCAAACCUGAGGCCUCAAAUAGAAACACACAAGUAUCUGUUUGAAGGAACUUCUGCAGAGUCCUGGUUCCAGAACAUGAUGAUAGAAUUAUAGACAAACUUUAACAAAAGCUGCCUGAGAGUUUACAGUUUUUUAUGUUGGAUUUCUUCAGUAAUUUAAUGAGCGUUAUCAGCAAUAAUCAAGUGUUCAUUUGAUGAACUUUAUUUCCUCAAACAUCCAGAAUUGGAGCUCAUAUCUUUGGCAGCUGUAAAGUUUCUGCUCCUUCAAAGUUCACAACACAAUGAAUGAAUUCCUAAAACACUCUCAAUGCUGGAGAGCGUUUGUGAUGCUGAAGCAGUGACCAGUUUUUCUGUUUCUUCUCUGGAGAUGCACAAUGAGGGACGUCUGCAGAGACUGAGAAAGAGUCUCACCACAUCUUGACAUGAGGAAAAAGACUUUAUUGAAGACUACAAUGAGAAAAACUAUCAGACAGCAGAGGGCUGCAUUCAAGUCUGUAGCUGCUGAAUUCAUGGAUGAAUCAUCUGGCACUAGAGAGGAAGACCAUCAAACAUCCACGUCAGCUGAUGGAGGUCCAAGAGUUUCACCCAACAAACAACCUACAGAGUGCAGGGAUGAGAAUUUUCCGCGGAUCCGCGGAAUUCCGAGUUUUUUUCCGCUGAAAGUAUAGUUUUUGUGAAUCGUGUAAAUCCGUUGAGAAAAUUGUAGGGGGGUAGGGGUAGGCAAGCGGCCGGCCGGCCGACGCGUCGCGAGCCGAGGCUUGUAAUGGCCGCCCGCCACCGACAUCUUUCGGCAACGCGCAUUGCAAAAUCAGAUACAGCUGAGAACGGAAAUCGGCAUUGCUAUCUGUAAACAUCACUCGCUGUUUAUGUUAAUGACAACAUCCGCCUAUUUUUGGCGGGGGGGCCGCCUUCGGCAGACAUUUUCAGAGUUUUUUUCCAUUUGUCAUUCUCAUCCCUGAGAGUGAAGACCUCAAAUCUGAUUGGACGGCCUCCUAU